rnacentral:rRNA from 1 species
CCAUGCCGCGGUGCAGGAUGAAGGCUUCGGGUUGUAAACUGCUUUUGUACGGAACGAAAAGGUCUUUUCUAAUAAAGAAGGCUCAUGACGGUACCGUAAGAAUAAGCACCGGCUAACUACGUGCCAGCAGCCGCGGUAAUACGUAGGGUGCAAGCGUUAAUCGGAAUUACUGGGCGUAAAGCGUGCGCAGGCGGUUAUAUAAGACAGAUGUGAAAUCCCCGGGCUCAACCUGGGAACUGCAUUAGUGACUGUAUAGCUAGAGUGCGGCAGAGGGGGAUGGAAUUCCGCGUGUAGCAGUGAAAUGCGUAGAUAUGCGGAGGAACACCGAUGGCGAAGCAAUCCCCUGGGCCUGCACUGACGCUCAUGCACGAAAGCGUGGGGACAACAGGAUUAGAUACCUGGUAGUCCACGCCCUAAACGAUGUCACUGGUUGUUGGGAAUU